AACGAACGCUGGCGGCAUGCCUAACACAUGCAAGUCGAACGAGACCUUCGGGUCUAGUGGCGCACGGGUGCGUAACGCGUGGGAACCUGCCCUUAGGUUCGGAAUAACUCCCCGAAAGGGGUGCUAAUACCGGAUAAUGUCUUCGGACCAAAGAUUUAUCGCCUUUGGAUGGGCCCGCGUUGGAUUAGCUAGUUGGUAGGGUAAAAGCCUACCAAGGCGACGAUCCAUAGCUGGUCUGAGAGGAUGAUCAGCCACACUGGGACUGAGACACGGCCCAGACUCCUACGGGAAGCAGCAGUGGGGAAUAUUGGACAAUGGGCGAAAGCCUGAUCCAGCAAUGCCGCGUGAGUGAUGAAGGCCUUAGGGUUGUAAAGCUCUUUUACCCGGGAUGAUAAUGACAGUACCGGGAGAAUAAGCUCCGGCUAACUACGUG
rnacentral:rRNA from 1 species